rnacentral:rRNA from 1 species
GUGAGUKGGAACUGCGAGUGUAGAAGGUGAAAAUUYGKWGGAUAUUCGCAWGRAACACCAGKUGGYGAAKGGCGGCUUCAYUKGCCCCGGUACUGACGYUGARGGUGCGAAAGCGUGGGGGAGCAAACSGGGAUUUAGAUACCCUGGGUAGUCCACGCCGUWAAACGAUGGGAUGCUAGCCGUUGGCAGGCUUGCCUGUCAGUKGGCGCAGCUAACGCAUUAAGCAUCCCGCCUGGGGAGUACGGUCGCAAGAUUAAAACUCAAAGGAAUUGWCGGGGGCCCGCACAAGCGGUGGAGCAUGUGGUUCAAUUCGAAGCAACGCGCAGAACCUUACCAACCUUUGACAUGUCCCGUAUGAGCACCAGAGAUGGAGUUCUUCAGUUCGGCUGGCGGGAACACAGGUGCUGCAUGGCUGUCGUCAGCUCGUGUCGUGAGAUGUUGGGUUAAGUCCCGCAACGAGCGCAACCCUCGCCCUUAGUUGCCAUCAUUCAGUUGGGCACUCUAAGGGGACUGCCGGUGAUAAGCCGCGAGGAAGGUGGGGAUGACGUCAAGUCCUCAUGGCCCUUACAGGUUGGGCUACACACGUGCUACAAUGGCGGUGACAAUGGGAUGCAAUGGAGCAAUCCUGCGCAAAUCUCAAAAAGCCGUCUCAGUUCGGAUUGCUMUCUGCAACUCGAGAGCAUGAAGUUGGAAUCGCUAGUAAUCGCAGAUCAGCACGSUGCGGUGAAUACGUUCCCGGGCCUUGUACACACCGCCCGUCACACCAUGGGAGUUGGUUUUACCUGAAGACGGUGCGCUAACCGCAAGGAGGCAGCCGGCCACGGUAGGAUCAGCGACUGGGGUGAAGUCGUAACAAGGUAGC